UGGAGAAUUUUGGACAAUGGGCGAAAGCCUGAUCCAGCAAUGCCGCGUGUGUGAAGAAGGCCUUCGGGUUGUAAAGCACUUUUGUCUGGAAAGAAAUCCUUGGCUCUAAUACAGUCGGGGGAUGACGGUACCGGAAGAAUAAGCACCGGCUAACUACGUGCCAGCAGCCGCGGUAAUACGUAGGGUGCAAGCGUUAAUCGGAAUUACUGGGCGUAAAGCGUGCGCAGGCGGUUUGCUAAGACCGAUGUGAAAUCCCCGGGCUCAACCUGGGAACUGCAUUGGUGACUGGCAGGCUAGAGUAUGGCAGAGGGGGGUAGAAUUCCACGUGUAGCAGGUGAAAUGCGUAGAGAUGUGGAGGAAUACCGAUGGCGAAGGCAGCCCCCUGGGCCAAUACUGACGCUCAUGCACGAAAGCGUGGGGAGCAAACAGGAUUAGAUACCCUGGUAGUCCACGCCCUAAACGAUGUCAACUAGUUGUUGGGGAUUCAUUUCCUUAGUAACGUAGCUAACGCGUGAAGUUGACCGCCUGGGGAGUACGGUCGCAAGAUUAAAA
rnacentral:rRNA from 1 species